CUUUGCUGAAAUAGCUGAAAUCUAUUAGUUAUUUGGUAAUUAUUCAGAAGAGACUACACACAUUCAAAUGGCCCAGGUGCAGCCCACUGCACGAGGACCUCACAAUGUCGUGAGCAUGUCGGUUUAGACAAGUGAGAUUUCAUUUUAAGGUCACACAGCCUGUCCCGGCCACGGUUGUCAUCACUCUGGUCCCCGCUGUACUCAGAUGUUUGUGUUGUUUCUGGCCGACCAGAGUCGUCGUUAAUUAUUCUUCAUGCAGGGCAGAAGAAGCAGCAUCUAUUUGCGAGAUUUUCGAAGCGAUAGAUCAGUCUUAAUGGAUGUGUCAUUUUGUCCUAAUCUCUCUUGCAGUCGGGUGAACGGAAAAGAUGACAGGUUAACUAAUGAGGACUGUAAAGUGCAAAUGGGGUUGCCCCAACGGACCAAACAGACUAGUGGCGAUUCUGACGGUGACAUUUCAUUAACAGGUACCUGGCGCCAAAGGAAAGGUAGUCUAUUUUUUAAUGUACCAUUAAUAAAGAAAUUGUGUUUGAUAUUUCCUGUGCGUUUGGUCUUGGUUACUCGUUAUUCACACCAAUUUUUCUUCAGUUUUGUUUGCCAUGGUACUUCAAGAACGAAGUGUACAAUGUUGAAACUAAUAUAUUUAAAUUAUUAAAAAUCUCUAUGUGAUUGCUGAAUGAUUUAUCAAUAUACAAUAUUGCGUAGCUAUUUUUUAAUAGGAAAUGUAAUAAUGAUGAAAAGAAAGGGGAGGGGGUUAUAUUAACUAAAAAUGUGUGAAAUGUGGAGUUGGAAUGGUUCAUAUUUAAAAAGUUUUUUUUCCAGAUUCUCAAGAUAUAUAGCGGACACGAAAGGAUGAAAUGACUACCUAGACCUUUGAUCUGUUACCUUAAGCUGCACAAAUAGGGGUCUUUAUGAAGCCAUCGCUGUAUAAAGUGUCAAUGUAAAAGCUCUGAGGCUUCUCAAUACAGCCUACACCGGAUGUAUUGAAAUUCAGUUGACCAUGCAAUUUAUUUCAAUAUAUCCGUAAUUCAAUAUAAGCGAAAUCGUGAAGCCGCCAUUUUUACAGGAUCAAUUCCGAUUUAAAAUAAAGAAGAACAAACCCGAGCAUAUUUUGUCAUGGUUUAACUAUAACAAAGAAUAGAUUACAUAGUCUAGAAUACAAUUCCCGGAAAAUUUAAAUAUUAUUUUUUAUUUCUGUUUCAUUGAAAAGACAAUCUUCAACCUCAUUAUUAUAUUAAGUAAAGGCAAAAGUUCGAAGAAGCAAUUUUUAGCACAAAGGUCACAGUCAAGGUCACAAGGUCAUUGACCUUGGUGUCUGUUGAAAGUGCGUCAUUAAUGGAGUAAACAUACCUUAUUAAAAAAAGCCUCUGUUUCUUACGGUUCAAAAGUUAUGGCGAAGGUAAAAAUUGACAACAGACAGACAAACAGACAGAUAAAGAACUAGACAAACAAAGAAAACCAGAAAAACAGGACAAAAACAAUAUGCGCCCGAAAAAAAAAUCGUUUGAAUAAAAAGAAUAGUUUUUCUUUUGCAUCACUUUUCCUAAAUUCUUUCAGAUUUUGAUGAAAUGGAGCAAAAUCAGACCGUCUUUCUUACAGCUUAAGAUUCUCUAUAAACAGUAAACGAUUUAUAUAUCUGGAGUAACAGAUAGCAGAAUGGCUCCAAUAAGGUACGGCGGAGAAGAUGCCCCGCCGUGUGAUUUGUGCGAGACUAUGAAGGUAGAACGACAAUAUGUUUUUUGUAACGUCAAAUUCUGCACGGCGUGUCUUGGAAAACAUUUCUCAGAUUCAUCUAAAAGCCACAAUGCUGUACCACUAAAGCAAAGACUUUCUGCCUACCAACGAUGUUACAGAAACGACAAAAGACAAUGCAGGCAGUUCUGUGGGGACUGUGAGGUUAAUUUUUGCGAUAAAUGCCAUGGACACGAGAGGCAUAAAAUAUGGGAGGUACCAUAUCUAUUCGAAAACAAAUCGAAACUAUGGCGACGAUAGAAAUUGUUACCAAACGUUAUAACAAAAAUGUACACCUUGGGUCGGAAAUAAUUUUAUUUGUAAAAUUUGCAGUGCUUAAAAUAAAGUACUGUAACCGAAUUAUAAAAUUAUAUAUUAAUUACUUGUGGUUAUACAAGAGAACACAUGUCUUUCAUAAGAAAUGAAACAAGAAAUGAUGUAGAUGAUGCGUAUUGGUUUGUGUCAUUUUCAAUUUAUGGUGCCAUCUAUUAACAAUCGGAAACAUAUUAUGUUCAAAGACAGUUGGAAAUAAUUCAUAACUAAAUACCAAUAUCACUAUUGUUUACCAAGUUAAAUAGAGAAAAUAUUUCUGCUAUUCCAAGUUCUUUUGAGUCUUCUGUUGUGUUGAUGUUGUUGUUGUUUUCGAUCUUUUAGCAGUUAUCUUGCAUUAAAACACCUAUACCCACAUACACAUUUAUCACAAAAAAUCAUUAAAUUGU